AAAUAAAUAAAAUAGAGUCUAGAUUUGAACCUUAAUUUCAGACCUGAGCAUAAUUUUGUCCGACUCAGAUUUCAUUCUAAAUAAUAGUAGAUGAAAAUAAAAUUUAGACUAAAAAUAUAUUUUCAAUUGAAGAUUCGAGAUGAAUUCGAUGUGUGCCCUAAACUAAGAGUAUGUUUUGCUGGGACCUAUAUUGGUCACUCAUCUUUUCUCAUCUGACAUAUGACUCGAACUUGCGACCAUUAACAGAAGUGGGACAGAAAAGGGUAGGAUUAGGGACGGAUCUUUUUCAAUACUAAACAUGUAGCUGUAUAAUGAGUCCACUAUAAUAUUUCAGAAACAUAAAAAAGUUGAUAUUUCGAUUUUUUUAACAAUUGGAUCAACUCUUUGAUCAUUUAUAAUUUUCAAAUUAAUAUUAAUGCCCUAGAGGGACCACUAAAUUCUAAUAAAGAAAUCACUAUCAUUUCAACCCUAUAAUUCUUAAUCUAAAAGCUAAAAAAAUCAAAAACAUCAAAUUCUUUAAAUUUUCGUAAGUAUAGUAGUUCCACACCUAUAUAUAUAGUUAUGUAAAUAUAAAUUUACUGAUAACAUAAUUUGUAUUCUUUGAUAUUUUUUCUAUCUGCUCUCAAAAAUAGUUAUAACAGUCAUACCCUAAGGCUAUGUUUGGUUCAAAGGAUAAAGGAAGAAUAAGAAAUUUAUUCCUCUUAUUCUUCCAAACGGUAUCAAAUAACGUCAAGAACUACUAUUCUCCUCUUAACGGGUUAUUCCGGAAUAACCCGUUAAGAGGGGAGAAUAGUAGUUCCACCUAUUGGGUGGAACAAGCUAUUCUCUACCUUAUUCCUCUACUAAUUAAAUUAUAAAUAAUUAUAAAUUAUAAUUAAUUAAUGCAUUUAAAUUUUUUAAUAAUUGACUAAUUAAUUAUUUAAGUUAUUAAAUUAAUAAAUAUUUAAAUAAUAAUCUAUUUAUAAUUUAUUAUUAUUUAUCUAAUUAAAUAGUUAGCCAUAUAUUCAAUUAUUUACUAAUAUUUAUAUUAUUUAAAUAAUUAGUAUUUUACUUUAUAUAAUUAAUAUAUUAACUAAAAAAAUAAAUGAUUAAAUAAUUAAUUCUAUUAACAUGUUGACUUAUUUUUUUAUAGUUAUUUACUAAUUAAUGUCAUCUUUGUCAUCUCGUAAUUUUAAUUAAUUUAUAAUGUAAUUUUGAUUAAUUUAUUUAUUAACUUAUUAAAAUAUUAUUUACUAAUACUUAGGUGCUUAAUAUUUAGAUAAAUUAGUUUUAUUUUCAAUCAUAAUUACUCUUAUCCCUCCUAUUCCAACCCAAUCAACCAAACAUAAUUUUUCUUAUUCCUCUAAAUAUCUCGAUUCUCGUCUAAACACAAAAUUGAACUAAUUCCUACCUAUCACAAAAGUUACACCUAUUCCAAGAAUAAACAAAAAUUGGUUGUUCUCGAACCAAACGGUACCUAAAAUCAUAAAAAGUCAAUAAUUUUACCCUAUUUCUCCAAAUAGUUUCUCAUUCACAUCACAUAUAUUGUCCUUCUAGAAUAUAAUUAACCCUACCCGCCCAGGGCCAAUUUGAAAAUCCAAAACCUCUUCUCCAAGCAAAAAAAAAAAAAAAAAACAAUCCCACCAACCACAAUCCUUCUCAAUCUGUAAAUACUCACAAAUUCAUGAAUCAUCUCCAUUCCCGAAGAGAGAAUUUAUGUAAAGAAAAGAAAAAUACACUACAAUAAAAACGGUCUAUAGCGAUAUUUUUAAAUAUAGGUACAUAUCAAAAAAGUGCUGCUAGCUAAAAUUACCAACACUUUUAAAAAGUGUUGCUAUAUGUGGGGUCGCCAGGUAUUUAGUGACAGUUAAAAAGUGUCGCUAUAACCUAAAAGAGCGCUGCUAAUUUACCAACACUUAUUUAAGCAUUUAGCAACCGCCGAAACUCUAUCUCGUUAGCUGCGGUGGCGGAGAAGGACGACAGGAAAGGCUCUUCAUCUAGAAUUUCAGUGGAUUGAGUGAAGAGAGAAGAAAAGAUAGUAAAUAAUUUUUCUUUUUUUUUCUAUUUGUAAUCGGGCCAAAUGGACUAGGUGUGGUGAGUUGAGUAGAGUAAUCUUUUAUUUUUGGUUGGAUUGGGCUUUAUAUUUAGGUAUUAGUAGAUAUUUUUUUAAGUUUUAGGAUAAAUGGGACACUUACUCAAAAGUGUCCCAAACAUGUGUCCCUAUAAUCUAAUUCUGUUGUAGUGAUAUAGUCAAAAAAUAAAAUGGCAUCGAGAGAUAAAGAAAGUGUAAUGUUUUUUGGGUGCACCAUCAAGCCUUUUCUCCAUGGGGGUCAAAUUGCACUGAACCUGAAGAAUGUGGCUUACGAAUUCGUCGAUGAGGCGGCCGGAGAGCAGAGUGAGCUUCUUGUUCGCUCGAACCCCGUGUAUAAGUUGAUCCCGGUGCUCAUUCACAACUACAGGCCGAUCUGCGAGUCGAUUAUGAUCGUCAGAGUACAUCAAUGAGGUUUGGGUCACUGGCACAGAGUCGAGCUCGAUUCUCCCCUUCGAUCCCUAUGAUUGUGCCUCUGCACGGUUUUGGGCCUCGUACAUUGAUGACAAGGUAGCGCUUAAGUUUUAUUCCAAGCACCGAUAACUUAGCUAGUAUAUUUUAUAUAAUUUUUGUAACUAUAAAUUAAUUAAAGUAACUAAUUCGCUUAAAUUUAAGUCAAAAUACUAUUGACGGAAUCAAAUCAAACAAGCUAAACUAUUUGCUAAUAACAUUAAAAAUUUAAAAGAGUUAGAUAAUUAAUUCGAUUUGGUCUAUAGUUUAUACAAGUUAUGCACAUUUUUAUCUCAAUAAAAUCCCUUUAAUCUUAGGACGAGCCGACUGGUACCAUAUAUUAAUUUUUUUUUUUUACUUUCUUAUUAAUUAUCCACAUAUGAAACUAUUCAUAUGCAAAAUUUUUUUUUUGAUAGAUAGGUAGCACGCUAUUCACUUCGUUUAUUUCAUUUAGAAAUAAACUUAGCUGGAAAUGUGAAUCAACUAGGAUUUGAACUUGGGACCUCAAGUAUCAACCAUCAAGUCCUUUCACUCCAACAAAAUUAGGUUAUGGGACACUUUUAUAUGAGCGUUCCAUUUAUGCUAAAUUUUUUUAAAAAAAUCUACUAAGUUUUAAAUAUAAAGCGGAAUCCAACCAAAAAUAAAAAUUUCUCUACUCAACCAACCAUACCAAACCCACUCGGCCCGAUUACAAAAUAAAUAAAUAAAUAAAUAAAAUAAAAAUAAUCACCAUCUUCUCUUCUCCUCUUCCGCUGCCGUAACCGACGAGAUAGGCUUUCAACAAAUGGAGUUCGGCCGCGAGGAUUUCGCAGGGACCGUAGAGAGCUACGAUCGCUACGUAUUUCUCCACCACAAGUUGCUGGAGGAGGGGUGCCAAAUAUUAAGAUGGCCCUNUGGUCUAUAGUUUAUACAAGUUAUGCACAUUUUUAUCUCAAUAAAAUCCCUUUAAUCUUAGGACGAGCCGACUGGUACCAUAUAUUAAUUUUUUUUUUACUUUCUUAUUAAUUAUCCACGUAUGAAACUAUUCAUAUGCAAAUUUAUUUUUUUUUGAUAGAUAGGUAGCGUGCUAUUCACUUCGUUUAUUUCAUUUAGAAAUAAACUUAGCUGGAAAUGUGAAUCAACUAGGAUUUGAACUUGGGACCUCAAGUACCAACCGUCAAGUCCUUUCACUACAACAAAAUUAGGUUAUGGGACACUUUUAUAUGAGCAUUCCAUUUAUGCUAAAUUUUUUUUAAAAAAUCUACUAAGCCUUAAAUAUAAAGCCGAAUCCAACCAAACAUAAAAAUUUCUCUACUCAACCAACCACACCGAGCCCACUCGGCCCGAUUACAAAAAAAAAAAAAGAAAAAAAAAAAAAAAAAAAAAAAAAAAAAAAAUUGAUCACCAUCUUCUCUUCUCCUCUUCCGCUGCCGUAACCGACGAGAUAGGGUUUCAACAAAUGGAGUUCGGCCACGAGGAUUUCGCAGGGACCGUAGAGAGCUACGAUCGCUACGUAUUUCUCCACCACAAGUUGCUGGAGGAGGGGUGCCAAAUAUUAAGAUGGCCCUAUCUAUAGCGACGCAACAUAUAGCAACAAUUUUAAAAAUGCCUGUAAUUUAGCCAGCGGCAUUUUUUUUUAUCCGUACCGAUAUUUAAAAGUAUCAUUAUAUACCUUUUUUAUUAUAAUAUUUGCCACUUGCUCUAGAGACGAUCGGCUCACAUGCAAAUUUUUAACAAAUGAAACGUGAUUUUAUUUUUUAUUUUUUAUUUUUUAUUUUUUUUUUAUAACAGUUGCCUCCUGUGCUUCGGAUCAUUGUGGGACACAACCAAGAGACCAAGAAGCAGUAGGACAGAUAAUAUCCAUCCUUCAGCUUCUCCAAGAAGCACUUAAAAACAAGGGGGAAGCACUUUUCCGGAGGGAACGACAAAAUUGGCUACCUCGACGUUGCAUCAGAGAGUUAAUUUUCUGGGGUGAUAAGGGGUAUUUGGUUCGGUGUAAAACAAAUUGUAGAAUUAUUUUCGAUAUAAAAAAUAUUUUUUUAUUUGUUUAAUUUGAUAUAAAAAUAUUUUUUUAGAAAAGUAUUUUUAUUGAUUGAAAAAAAAUUUCACCGUAUAAAAAAAACAUAAAUUUUUUUCCUUCUAACUAAAUAAAUAUUGAUAAAAAAUUAUUUUUUUUCUAUAAAUCAAAUACUAUAAAAUAUAUAUAUAUAUUUUUUUGAUUUUACGUUGAGCCAAACGGACCACCCUAAACAGCAAAUGUAGCCAAAAAUAUAAGCAGGUCUCAAAAAUAAAAAUUGCAAUUAAGAAAAUUCUAUAUAUACCACACGCGAAAGUUGUUAAAAAUAGUUAUGUAAUGUUAUCUUCUUUUUUUUUUUCCUAAUAAAGCACUAAGAUAAUAUUUCGAGUUGAGCCAAUAAAUUAGAAAGUUUUGAUCUAUUUAUGCGCAUAAUCUAGGGGUGCUUUAAGAGAUAUCCAAAGUAUUAAUAAUUUCUUAAUUAGAGACAAUAUAUAAUCCUAAUAAGCAUCUAAGUUCAACUAUGCAUGAAGGCGGUAUAACUGCUAGUCACAAAAAAAUAAAUUAAUGAAAAAACUUACUAUUUUAAGGGCAUAUUUGGUUCAUGAUUAGAAUAGAAAUGAGAAAUAAAAUUGGAUUGCUUUGGAAUGAAAAAUGAAAUGGCAAAUCAUCCAAAAAUAUUUGCUUUAUUAUUGGAAUGAAAAUCGGAAUGAAAAUUUAAAAUUUAAAAUUUUUGAGAGAGAAUUUUGAUUAAGAGUGAGGAAAUGAUGAAGGAAGAGGAGUUAGGUGUUGAUGAAAGAGGAUUUUGAAUAGUUUAUUUUAAAAUGAGCCAAUCUGGAAUUCAAUGCCGGAUUGGAUCAUAAAUGGAUUUGGCGAUCCCCAUUCCGGAGUAGAAUGGAAAUCGGAAUCCGAUUCCUAUAAAACAAACGGUAAUUAUCAGAAUCAAUGAAUUUCAUUCCGAUUUCAUAGUCUAAAAUAGGUGAACCAAACAUACCCUAAGUUCAAAUUUUCUCUUAAACAUUGUAGAUUUUUUAAAACUACUCUAACAAACCAUGCAUUAUCUAUUUACUAUAUACUAAAAUAGAACUCUUAGUGUAAAACUGGCACGUAACUUUCUAUAUGCUUGUCACGUGUUAAACUGAAAUAUAGAAUAACAAUUUAGUAAAUAAAUUAGGAAACACUAUUAAAUCAAAUUAAAUUACUAUUAAACACUAUUAAAAUAAUUAUAUAUACAAUUAACUAUAAUUUUAUUAGAAAACACUAUUAAACACUAUUAAAUUAAAUUUGGCUAUCAAUUAGAUGGUUAAAAAUAGAAUUUUAUUAGGAAACACUAUUAAAUCAAAUUAUACCAAUUAAGUAUAAUUAUAAAUACAAUUAAAUAGAAUUUUAUUAGGAAACACUAUUAAACACUAUUAAAUCAAAUUAUAAUCAUAUACAGAACUAACUAGAAUUUUAAUUAAUCAAAUUAAAUGUUUAUCAUACAUCUUUUUAUAUACUUGCCACAUGUCAACCUCAAAUAUAGCAAUUUAGUAAAUAGAUUAAGAAACANCGGUUUGAUUCGGAAUUAUCACAAAUUAUCACAAAGGAUUAUUUUAAGAUCAAUUAACAUAUAUAUUAAUAUUAAAUAUUGAGACCUAUCUAACGGUAUUAGAUAGAAUAGAGUUGAGGAAAAAGCAUAUAGGGAUAUGCUUCUGCGUUCUCCAGUGGGACCGCAGAAAAUAUGUUGUAACCGACUCAUCGCGAUAUGCGGAACGCAAUAUUAGUUACGGAAACAAAUAGGGUAUUUUUCCAACGUAUUUUCUCACCGCACGUAACGCAAUUUCCUCAAAAUCCCAAACGAAGCCUAAAUCAAAUUAUAAUUAUAUAUACAAUUAAAUUAAAUUAAAUCAAAUUAAAUAUUUAUCAUGCAUCUUUCUAUAUGUUUGCCAUAUGUCAAACUCAAAUAUAGCAAUUAGAUGGUUAAAAAUAAAAUUAUAUUAAACACUAUUAAAUCAAAUUAAAACAAAUUAUACUAAUUAAAUAUAAUUAUAUAUACAACUAAAUAGAAUAUUAUUAGAAAAUACUAUUAAACACUAUUAAAUCAAAUUAUAAUUAUAUAUAUACAAUUAAAUCAAAUUAAAUCAAAUUAAAUAUUUAUCAUGUAUCUUUCUAUAUACUUGCCACGUGUCAAACUCAAAUAUAGUAAUUAGAUGGUUAAAAAUAAAAUUUUAUUAGGAAACACUAUUAAAUCAAAUUAAAUCAAAUUAUACCAAUUAAGUAUAAUUAUAUAUACAAUUAAAUAGAAUUUUAUUAGGAAACACUAUUAAACACUAUUAAAUCAAAUUAUAAUCAUAUACAGAACUAACUAGAAUUUUAUUAGGAAACACUAUUAAACACAAUUAAAUCAAAUUAUAAUUAUAUAUAUAAUUAAUUAAUCAAAUUAAAUGUUUAUCAUACAUCUUUUUAUAUACUUGCCACAUGUCAACCUCAAAUAUAGCAAUUUAGUAAAUAGAUUAAGAAACACUAUUAAAUCAAAUUAAAUCACUAUUAAACACUAUUAUUAUAAUUAUAUAUACAAUUAACUAGAAUUUUAUUAGAAAACACUAUUAAAUACUAUUAAAUCAAAUUAUAAUUAUAUAUACAAUUAAAUCAAAUUAAAUCAAAUUAAAUAUUUAUCAUGUAUCUUUCUAUAUACUUGCCACGUGUAAAACUCAAAUAUAGUAAUUAGAUGGUUAAAAAUAAAAUUUUAUUAGGAAAUACUAUUAAAUCAAAUUAAAUCAAAUUAUACCAAUUAAGUAUAAUUAUAUAUACAAUUAAAUAAAAUUUUAUUAGAAAACACUAUUCAACACUAUUAAAUCAAAUUAAAUCAAAUUAUACCAAUUAAGUAUAAUUAUAUAUACAACUAACUAGAAUUUUAUUAAGAAACACUGUUAAACACUAUUAAAUCAAAUUAUAAUUAUAUAUACAAUUAAAUCAAAUUAAAUAUUUAUCAUGCAUCUUUUAUAUACUUGCCACGUGUCAAAUUCAAAUAUAGCAAUUAGAUGGUUAAAAAUAGAAUUUUAUUAAGAAACACUGUUAAACACUAUUAAAUCAAAUUAUAAUUAUAUAUACAAUUAAAUCAAAUUAAAUAUUUAUCAUGCAUCUUUCUAUAUACUUGCCACGUGUCAAACUCAAAUAUAGCAAUUAGAUGGUUAAAAAUAGAAUUUUCAAACUCAAAUAUAGCAAUUAGAUGAUUAAAAAUAGAAUUUUGUUAGGAAACACUAUUAAAUCAAGUUAAACCAAAUUAUAUCAAUUAAGUAUAAUUAUAUAUACAAUUAAGUCAAAUUAAAUAUUUAUCAUGCAUCUUUCUAUAUCCUUGCCACAUGUCAAACUCAAAUAUAGCAAUUAGAAGGUUAAAAGUAGAAGUUUUUUAGGAAACACUAUUAAAUCAAAUUAAAUCAAAAUAUACCAAUUAAAUAUAAUUAUAUAUACAAUUAACUAGAAUUUUAUUAGGAAACACUAUUAAACACUAUUAAAUUAAAUUAUAAUUAUAUAUACAAUUAACUAGAAUUUUAUUAGGAAACACUAUUAAACACUAUUAAGGCUUAGUUUGGCAUUGAGACCUAUCUAACGGUAUUAGAUAGAAUAGAGUUGAGGAAAAAGCAUAUAGGGAUAUGCUUCUGCGUUCUCCAGUGGGACCGCAGAAAAUAUGUUGUAACCGACUCAUCGCGAUAUGCGGAACGCAAUAUUAGUUACGGAAACAAAUAGGGUAUUUUUCCAACGUAUUUUCUCACCGCACGUAACGCAAUUUCCUCAAAAUCCCAAACGAAGCCUAAAUCAAAUUAUAAUUAUAUAUACAAUUAAAUUAAAUUAAAUCAAAUUAAAUAUUUAUCAUGCAUCUUUCUAUAUAUUUGCCAUAUGUCAAACUCAAAUAUAGCAAUUAGAUGGUUAAAAAUAAAAUUAUAUUAAACACUAUUAAAUCAAAUUAAAACAAAUUAUACUAAUUAAAUAUAAUUAUAUAUACAACUAAAUAGAAUAUUAUUAGAAAAUACUAUUAAACACUAUUAAAUCAAAUUAUAAUUAUAUAUAUAAUUAAAUCAAAUUAAAUCAAAUUAAAUACUUAUCAUGCAUCUUUUAUAUGCUUGUCACAUAUCAAACUCAAAUAUAGCAAUUAGAUGAUUAAAAAUAGAAUUUUGUUAGGAAACACUAUUAAAUCAAGUUAAAUCAAAUUAUAUCAAUUAAGUAUAAUUAUAUAUACAACUAACUAGAAUUUUAUUAGAAACACUAUUAAAUACUAUUAAAUCAAAUUAUAAUUAUAUAUACAAUUAAAUCAAAUUAAAUCAAAUUAAAUGUCUAUCAUGCAUCAUUUCUAAUUAUUACCAUAAAUAUUGCAGGCCACUUUUCUACUAUCACUACUUCUAUAAUUUUCACUUCAUUUUGAUAUUAUUCAGCACAUUUCAGUUAAAUAUCUAUUGAGCAGUUGUUCUUAAUUCUUAGAUUUUUAAUUUUCUAUCAUAAAUAGAAUCUUAAAAACUAAUUUGUUGCAAUAAUUAUAUCCGUUGUUUAAUAAAAAUCAAAUUUUAGAUAUUUUUCAAGUAGAGCUAGUUAUUAUUAUAAAUAUUAAUUGCAUGCUACUUCCCUACUAUUACUCAUUAUGUAAUUUUCACUUCGUUUUAAUAUUAUUUAGCACGUUUCAAUUAAGUAUCUAUUGAGCAGUUUUUCUUAAUUUUUAGAUGUUGAUACUUUAAAAUAGAAUAUAUUUUUUUAUUUUAUUACUUAAAUAUGAAACAAGUACUAACUUUUUUUUUUUAGAUGUCUUAUUGUUUUCAAGAUAUGGCACUUGGGUUUGAUUUUAUAAGUGACAUCACUCUUUUUUGAGACAAAUGGAAGAUCAAAGUCAGAGUGAUUUGUCUGUAUAUUAUGCCUGAAUUUUACUAAUAUUAUGAUAUUUAUUAUUUCACUUAUUUAACAAUUUAUCUAUAUUGCUAUUGGAGCAGAUACUUUUCAUCUUUAUGCAAAUUUUUUUUUUCCCUUCGUAUUUUCUUGAAGACCAACAUCUAUAUAUAUUUGAAUUUUGAAAAUUGGUAUGUCUCUCAUACAUGUGUGCUUAUUCUAAUUUGUGUCAAACAUGGAAGUUUAGUUGAUCUCUGUAAGGACUGAGAUUUUUGGCAGUGCUACUAAACUCUCUAUUGAUGAUGUUUAUGUGUGUAAUUUAAUUACAUAAGCACUCGUCAAGUUUCGGGCGAAAAUGAGCUAAAAUGGAGAAGAUACGCGACUUUCAGUUUUCACUUAAGUGAAUAGUAACUCCGAUUUUCCGGGGAAGCCACGGAGUAGAGUUGGCUUCUGGUGCGUAUCGGACUCCGUUCAUAUCAGUCCAAUAGCUCGUUUCGACCGGUUCAGCUGUUCUGGAACUAGUGGCGCUGAUGGAUUUUGAGUUUGACGCACGGAUUUCGAGAAAAUCCAAAAAUACAUGUUUUAUAUGUAUUUGUGUGUGUGUUUCCUUCUAUUGGAAGAAGGUUGGAUUUUGUUGUGAAUCCGUGGUCGAUCGAAAUGAAUCGAAAGUGUAGCUUUGUUGUCUCCGAGGUGCUGAUCGCACUGGUGCAAUCCGUUCGCAAAUCUGACGGACGGAUCUGCGGAGAUCGCGCGUUGAUCGAGGAGAGGUCGGUGAUGGAAAAACGGUAAUUUCGCAAAAGUUGCGACAUUUUAUGUACCGUUUCGCGUGAAAUCGCACGUGGAGGGGUUUAUGCAUGUUUUAUUCGUGCGGUGAAGGACUAAGAUUAAAUGGUUGAGUCUUGGAGGACUUUUCGGCAAGUUUACACUUACAUUUAUAGGUUGAUGUUAGAUUUUUUGCUUGGAAACCCUAACCCUAGGUCGUUCCUGCUAGCCCUAGUCCACCAGCCGCCUCAGCCAUCUCCUGCCCUCCCCGUGCGCAUGCUCCGGCCGCCGGCGAGCUCCUCCGGCCGCCGGAAAUCCCUGCAUCACCUCUCUUUCUCUCCCUUUUGGCCAACCCCUUCACCGCAUUGUGGUUUGCGGACCCUGGUAGCCACCUAGCUCGAGCACUGUUGUCCCCUGGCCGUGGCCCAGCCUUCGGCGACUCCCCUCGUCGCCGCCGUCGUCCCCGCGCGCCGCCGUCGUUGCCUGGGCGCUCUGCAGCCGAGCUGGACCAACUCGGGCCGAGCCCAGGCUGGUUUCCACCACGCGCCCUACCGCCACCAGGGACCACAUCGGCAACCUCCCUCUUGACCACUGGCACCCCCGCGCCCGGCCUGAAUGGCCGCCGUCGCCGCCGCACGCCCUGGGCGCCGCCGCUGUGACCCUCUGCCAAGCUGAGCUCGGGUGGCCGCGCUUGAGCUGCGGGCCACCGCCGCCGUCGCUCGCCUCCUUCCUCCUUCCCCUCCACCUUCAGGCGACCCCUUCUUGCCGUCUCCGACGUCCCCGCGGGUCCCCGGCCGCCUUGGUGGCCGUUCUGUCCGGCUGAACCCGAGCCGAGCGCGCAGGGGGCUCGGGUUUCUCAUGAGCAGUCGCCGUCGCCUCCCAACGCCGGCCGGAGUGAGCACCGCCUCCGCCUGUCCGGCCGCACCCGCCCACCGCCGUAGAUCCUGCCGCCAGAAGCUCCCUGUUGGCUGGACCAAGCCCUGGCUCUCCUCGGGUUGUGCGGCUAGGGCAUCAAUGCCCGCCGCCUCCGCCGCCUCCCGUGGUCGACCGAUGCGCGCCCGGACCUCCCCACACUGGCAGCACCCUCCUCUUGCCGGAUAUCCCGCCGUCCGGCUGCCGCCGGCCGCCCCGUGCCCCACCUUGCUCCGGUAAGUUUGUUGUUGGCUUCCUGCACCUUGUCUUGGGGUUCCGAUCACUGAUUGGUCGGUUCUCAUACUUUGUUUCGGUGACCUGAUUGUCGGUUCUCGUACUUCGUUUCAGUGACCUAGUUGAUCGGUGCUUUUAUCUUAUAUCUGUUGACCUGGUUGGUCAGUUCUUGUACUCCAUCGUCGAUGACCUUUGAGGUCGGUGUACCCUGAGGGGUAGGAUUGUCGGCUGGUGCUGACGGUAGUUCUGGACUAUACAGAAUACACUCCUGUGACCUAUCGGUCGGUUCCUGCGUUCGUACUUUUAGUGGACAUCGAGCAGUAUCUACAUACUAUAUUUAUUUACUCUGCCUGGUUGUUCUAUGUGUAGUAUCCUGUAUAGGGGUAGAGUAGAUGGCAUUCGUAUAUACUAUACUUGUGACCUGGUUGGUCGGUUCUCCUAUUUGCAUCGGUGACCUGUUUGGUCGUUCGUUACUUUCCGUACAUUGACCUAUCUCGGUCGGUUCACGUUGUUACUUCAUGACCUACACGGUCGGUAUGCCCAGAGGGGCAGUGAUUGUCGGCUGAUUGCCGACGGUUGGCUAUUGAUCAUAUCCGCAUUGAUCGCCACAGCUCGAGUGCAUUUCACGUACACCAGCGGGUUGAUCCCCCGCAGGAGGGUGUUCUUUUCCGGAAAAGUGGUCGUACAUCCGAUCCGUGAGCCCAGCGGUGUUCUCUUGUGCUAGGGUUACAUGCCAGGUGUGAGCAGAUAGUGGCUUUUGCCUGAGGUCCUUAGACCGACACGGCGGUUUAGAUUGGGUACGUUUGGACUUCUCGUCCGGUUGACGCAUAUAGUUAUAGUAGCGGUUGUUGCAUAUAUACUUCUAUUUCUUUCUCUACAGUUGUCUUGCUACUAUAGUUUUGAUAUCCUUGUAUGCUUGCAGUUGUACAUUACAGUAGCGGUAGUUGUGCUUUCAUAUAUAUAUCUCAUUCGUUCAUUAUCGUUGCUACUGUAUUUUACUUACCCAUACUGUUGUUUAUCUCUUCCUGAUCCGGUGAGUACUCCUCGCCUUCUUCGGCUUGCGGUACCCACUGGGAGGGGAGACAUGUUUACAUGUUCUCACCUCCCCCACUAUUUUUCAGGUAGUACAGGCGUUGAGUUUUGGGACGAGAUGUGAGGUACGUUCGUAGCGGUCGAUAGAGCUUCCGACACAGGUUAUCAGUUUAGUUUUAUCCCUACUAUUCUGUUGUUAUAGCUUAGUCAGUUUAUAUGGUUCAGUAUUUUUAUUACAUUGGAAUAUGUGGACUUUCAUGAAUGUAAUAAAAGGAUUUCUGGAUUUGGUAAAAUAAAAAAUUUUCUACCCCUCGUGGUAGCUUUUAUAAAAGAUAAAAGUUUUCGCGUAUGGAACAGUUUUCAAAAGAUUUUUCGUGGACUUUUGUUUAAACAUCGAAUGUAAAACUACGGUGUGAAUGGUGAAUGUAUGAAGGUAUAGCUAUCUGUUUAUUCAUUUAGUUGCAUGUGGUUGUAUACUGUUUGUACUUUUGUACUUGUGCGACGCCGUGCAAAUACAGGGGAGACUCUGUCCGUGUGAACAGUGGAUUUCCUGUAUUUGUGGCGGAUCUGGCAUACUCUGGGGUCAGGUUUUCAAAAAUUUAAACGCUUUUCCGCUGUGUUUCAAACUAAAAGGGGACCCUGGGGCGUGACAAUCUCAUUAUAUGCUGAAAUAUUAAUGUUAUUUGUAAUUUUUUAUAUCAAUUUGAGUUCUCAUUUUGUUUUACACAUUAAUAUGUAAAUGUAAAUUAUUUUGCACACCAAUUCAUAGAUAAUAGAGUAUAGUUGAAUUUUGCUCUUUACCUGAGUAUUUAUUUUGGUCCAUAAUUUUGUUUCUCUAACUUUUGUACUUUAAUAUGUAUUAUAAUUAAGAUUGAUAGUAUAUUUAUUUAUUUAUUUAAAAAUAUAAUAUUAAUUAAAAUAUUUUUUUUUAUCAUCACAUAAUAAUUUUUAUUAUUUUAUAUUAUUAUAUUAGUCGUGAAUCACAUGGCUCAAAUUCUAGUUGCAAUAAAAAACAAUUGUUAUAUAUAUUUUUUGGAAACAUCACACUUGUUGGAGGGCGAAUAUAUAAAAUAAACUACAACAAAUAUAUUUAACACUGGAAUACCAAACUUUAUUAAUAUAACUAAACUUCAGUACACUAUUACUGAAUAAUACAAUUUGAUCCACACUUCACAACAUUUCACAAAAAGACAUGACCCUAAACCAAAAGACGCAACCCUUACAAAAGGACACACCCUUUCAUAAGAAACACAACUCUUCAAAUAAAAAAUAAACAAAUAAAACAAGCUUAUAACUAACAUUCCCCCUUAAGCUUGUUUAUGCAAAACUGUCGACAUCUUCUUCGAUCGGGUCUUCAUAAUCUUGGAGUCUUUCCUGUAAGACUAUCUUGUCUGAAAUCAAACUCCUAAUUUUAGAGGCCUGCUCAUUGAUUACGUUCUCCAGGGAUUUAUUCUCCAAAUUCACCGCCAUAUUUUUUUUUUCCAAAUUUUUUGCAAGUUUCUCUAAAUACAAAUUUCUUUGAUCAAGAGAUACCAUACCUGUGGUACUCAUAAAAGCAAAGUGAGCCACAUCUUGUUCCGCAUCCUUCUUUGAUCUUUUUACAUCGCCCAUACAAGUGGAAUUUCCGAAUUCGACAAACGAAUAAAAUUCUGGAAUGUGAAUAGGUCGUUCUUGAUAAGUGCGAUAUUGUGGCAGUGGCAUCUUCAUUUUCUGACAGUAUUCUUGAAGUAGAUUUUUGUAGGACACUCUUACUAUCACUUUAUUCUCCAUGUUUUUUGCCUUUUCUAUUAUCAAGUUUCAAUUUUGACUUGAGAGCCUGCUCAGUCGACUCUUCUUCAGACAUCUUUUGUAGUCUUUGCUCAUGCACUUGGGGCGAUCCUGUCAAUUGGUCGAUAGAAAGAGUACUGAUAUCUUUUGACUCUUCUAUAGCGACAACAAUAUGCUCAAACUUUGAUGUGAGGGAACGAAGAACCUUUUCUACAACUCGUUCAUCAUUUAGUUCUUCUCCAUUUCGCUUCAUUUGGUUGGCAAUUACCAAAAUGCGAGAAACAUAAUCCGCGACACUUUCGGACUCCUUCAUUCGGAUUGCUUCGAAUUCCGCUCGAAGUUUUUGUAGACGAAUCUGCUUUACUUUGUCAUCUCCUGUAAAGACGGUGGCAAGAAUAUCCCAUGCUGCUUUGCUCGAAGUUGCUUCGGCAAUUUUCUCAAACGUCGACUCGUCUACUGCUUGGUAAAGAUAGAAGAGCGCCUUCUUANUACAACUAAAUAGAAUUUUAUUAGGAAAUACUAUUAAACACUAUUAAAUCAAAUUAUAAUUAUAUAUAUAAUUAAAUCAAAUUAAAUCAAAUUAAAUAUUUAUCAUGCAUUUUUCUAUAUGCUUGUCACAUGUCAAACUCAAAUAUAGCAAUUAGAUGAUUAAAAAUAGAAUUUUGUUAGGAAACACUAUUAAAUCAAGUUAAACCAAAUUAUAUCAAUUAAGUAUAAUUAUAUAUACAAUUAAGUCAAAUUAAAUAUUUAUCAUGCAUUUUUCUAUAUGCUUGUCACAUGUCAAACUCAAAUAUAGCAAUUAGAUGAUUAAAAAUAGAAUUUUGUUAGGAAACACUAUUAAAUCAAGUUAAACCAAAUUAUAUCAAUUAAGUAUAAUUAUAUAUACAAUUAAGUCAAAUUAAAUAUUUAUCAUGCAUUUUUCUAUAUGCUUGUCACAUGUCAAACUCAAAUAUAGCAAUUAGAUGAUUAAAAAUAGAAUUUUGUUAGGAAACACUAUUAAAUCAAGUUAAACCAAAUUAUAUCAAUUAAGUAUAAUUAUAUAUACAAUUAAAUCAAAUUAAAUCAAAUUAAAUAUUUAUCAUGCAUUUUUCUAUAUGCUUGUCACAUGUCAAACUCAAAUAUAGCAAUUAGAUGAUUAAAAAUAGAAUUUUGUUAGGAAACACUAUUAAAUCAAGUUAAACCAAAUUAUAUCAAUUAAGUAUAAUUAUAUAUACAACUAACUAGAAUUUCAUUAGUAACACUAUUAAAUACUAUUAAAUCAAAUUAUAAUUAUAUAUACAAUUAAAUCAAAUUAAAUCAAAUUAAAUGUCUAUCAUGCAUCAUUUCUAAUUACUACCAUAAAUAUUGCAUGCCACUUUUCUACUAUCACUACUUCUGUAAUUUUCACUUCAUUUUGAUAUUAUUCGGCACAUUUCAGUUAAAUAUCUAUUGAGCAGUUGUUCUUAAUUCUUAGAUUUUUAAUUUUCUAUCAUAAAUAGAAUCUUAAAAACUAAUUUGUUGCAAUAAUUAUAUCCGUUGUUUUAUAAAAAUCAAAUUUUAGAUAUUCUUCAAGUAGAGCUAAUUAUUAUUAUAAAUAUUGCAUGCUAGUUCCCUACUAAUACUCGUUAUGUAAUUUUCACUUCGUUUUAAUAUUAUUCAGCACGUUUCAAUUAAGUAUCUAUUGAGCAGUUUUUCUUAAUUUUUAGAUGUUGAUACUUUAAAACAGAAUAUAUUUUUUUAUUUUAUUACUUAAAUAUGAAACAAGUACUAACUUUUUUUUUCUUGAUGUCUUAUUAUUCUCAAGAUAUGGCACUUGGGUUUGAUUUUAUAAGUGACAUCACUCUUUUUUGAGACAAAUGGAAGAUCAAAAUCAGAGUGAUUUGUCUGUGUACUAUGCCUGAAUUUUACUAAUAUUAUGAUAUUUAUUAUUUCACUUAUUUAACAAUUUAUCUAUAUUGCUAUUGGAGCAGAUACUUUCCAUCUUCAUGCAAAUUUUUUUUUUUCCCUUCAUAUUUUCUUGAAGACCAACAUCUAUAUAUAUUUGAAUUUUGAAAGUUGGUAUGUCUCUCAUAUAUGUGUGCUUACUCUAAUUUGUGUAAAACAUGGAAGUUUAGUUGAUCUUAUUAUAUGCUGAAAUAUUAAUGUUAUUUGUAAUUUUUUAUAUCAAUUUGAGUUCUCAUUUUGUUUUGCACAUCAAUAUAUAAAUGUAAAUUAUUUUGCACACCAAUUCAUAGAUAAUAGAGUAUAGUUGAAUUUUGCUCUUUACCUGAGUAUUUAUUUUGAUUCAUAAUUUUGUUUCUCUAACUUUUGUACUUUAUAUGUACUAUAAUUAAGAUUGAUAGUAUAUUUAUUUUUUUGUUUAAAAAAUAUAAUAUUAAUUAAAAUAUUUUUUUUUAUCAUCACAUAAUAAUUUUUAUUAUUUUAUAUUAUUAUAUUAGCCAUGAAUCACACGGGUUAAAUACUAGUUGCAAUCAAAAACAAUUGUUAUAUAUAUUUUGGAAACAUCACACUGAGGUGUUCGUGUGAUUAUAUGUAUGUUUUUGAAAUCUUAUAUUCAAUUCUUUCCUUGAACGUGCAUUGCGCCAGCCCAUGUUUCCUUAUUUUUGUAGCAGCACUAAUCACACAUAUUAAUUUUUGUCCAGAUUCAUCCAUGUAAACCCAAAAAAAAAAAUCCAAUAGAUAUAUACAUAUAUAAUAUACUUCUUUUCUUUUUCAUCAUUAUACAUGUAGCAAUAUAUAUAACAUAACAUUCAUACAUUAUGGAUCCCAUGCUCUUUACUACUGUUUCUCAUUUGAAACGACGAUGUACCAAAACGCCUCCUCAUUCUUUUCCCUCUCCUUCAUCGUAAUAUUGUUGUCCAUUUUUUCUCCAGUAUUGUGUAUUCGUAAUAUUGGCUCGAAUGAUUCCGAACCACUGCAAACUUACAUUGUCCGUGUGCAACCUCCUAUAGAGAUCGCCGAUGCUAGCUCCAACGAGCUUGAGAGUUGGUACAAGUCAUUCUUAUCCGAGUCUGUUUCAGACACCGGCGAGCCGCGGUUGCUUCACUCCUACAGCGAAGUCUUCAGCGGCUUCGCCGCGAAGCUCACACAAUUCGAACUUAAUUCGAUGCAAAAGAGAGAAGGGUUCGUGCGCGCUUUUCCGGAGCGGAAGCUCUACCUUCAGACGACCCAUACGCCGGAGUUUCUGGGCCUCCGAACUGAGAGUAAUGGACUUUGGAACGCCUCGGCGUUCGGCCGUGGCGUUAUCGUCGGCCUACUCGACACCGGCAUCGCUGCCGGCCACCCUUCCUUCUCCGACGCCGGCAUGCCGCUGCCCCCAGCCAGGUGGAAGGGCUCGUGCGCCCUUGAGGCCGGCUGCAACAACAAGCUCAUCGGCGCGCGCGCAUUCGUGCCGGGCGAUGAGUCCCCUCUCGACGACAACGGGCACGGGACCCACACGGCGAGCACGGCCGCCGGCAACUUCGUGCCCGGCGCGCAGGCGUAUGGGCAGGCCGGAGGCACGGCUGCUGGGAUGGCGCCGCGCGCGCACCUGGCCGUGUACAAGGUGUGCAGCGCCUCAGGCUGCACGGACUCGGACGUGCUCGCCGGCCUGGACGCCGCCGUGAAGGAUGGGGUCGACGUAAUCUCCAUCUCUUUGGGCGGCGGAUCCGUUCCUUUUGACGAGGAUGCGAUCGCCAUCGGCGCGUUCGCCGCUUUCGAGAAGGGCAUAGUCGUCAGCUGCGCAGCAGGUACUAAUAUGAAUAACUGAUGUAAUUUAUUUAUUUUUUUUCACUCUCCGAGUGUACUCUUACAUCCUAUUCAUCCAACAGGUAACGCCGGUCCCUUCAAUACCUCGCUCUCUAACGAGGCGCCGUGGUACAUAACAGUGGGUGCGACCUCGGUCGACCGGAGCUUUAGAUCGUACGUACAGCUUAACAACGGGAAGGUCUACGAAGGCGAAUCUCUAAAUCAGUUAACCAAAAUUCCCUCGAACCCGGUCGAACUUGCGUACAAUUCCAACUGCAGCGAUUGCACCUUCUUCAAAAACUUCGACAUCCAGGGCAAAAUAGUUGUAUGCAAGCCCUUCUUUCCACCGGAAAAGAUCGCCACAGCCGUUCUGAAAGCCGGAGGCAUCGGUGUCAUCAUCAUCAAUGUGGAGGAAGAGGGCUACACUAUCAUCGCGAGCGACUUCCACCUGCUGGCGUCGCAGUUGUCUCCUGCCGACGGGGACGCUGUCAUAGCCUACGCGUCGGACGCCAGAAACAACCCGAAAGCGUUGAUCACUUUCAACGGCACCGUCCUCGGAACUUCCCCGGCUCCCGUCGUUGCCUUCUUCUCUUCUCGGGGGCCGAACUUCCAGACCCCGUCGAUUCUAAAGCCCGACGUGUCGGCUCCGGGGCUUAACAUACUAGCCGCGUGGCCGACCCGAGUAGAUGGAGGAAACGACGGUGCGAAUACUUUCAAUAUAAUCUCUGGCACUUCGAUGGCGACGCCGCACAUCAGCGGCAUCACCGCGCUGAUAAAGAGCGUGCAUCCUGACUGGUCGGCAGCAGCCGUCAAGUCGGCAAUCAUCACCACAGCCGAUGAGAACGGUCGCGACGGCAAGCCCAUCUUAGACGAGCUUCACCAGAAGGCGAGCUUCUUCGCGGUGGGAGCCGGGCACGUGAACCCCUCGAAAGCGGCCGACCCCGGUCUGAUCUACGACAUCGGUGCCAACGACUACGUCGGUUUCAUAUGCAGCAUUUACGGCGACGCGGGCGCUCGCGUUAUCGUCCGCAGCCACAACGUGUCGUGUUCGAAGGUGACCCAAAAGUCGGCGACGGAGCUCAACCUACCGUCGAUAGCGGCCUCCCCGGCUUGGCUGGAAACGGUGACGAUCACCCGCGCGGUGACGAACGUCGGUGAGCCGCAGUCGACUUACACCGCUCAUGUAGAUAUUCCGGAGGCGGUGAAGAUCGAAGUCGCGCCGCCGACUUUGAGUUUCGCGGCGGUCGGCGAGAGGAAGACGUUCCAGGUGAGGGUGAGAUGGAGCCUCUUUCCGGCGAAAGGCGUGGUUGAAGGGAAUUUGAGGUGGGUUUCUAAUGAGCACGUUGUGAGGAGCCCCAUAGUGGUAGGAAAUUUUAAAGCUAGAAACUAGCUAGGUGAUGAAAAAUCAUUCCUGUUGUUGUAUUUCAGGUAAUUUCCUGAGGAGUAUAUAAGGAUGUGCUUGCAAGAAGUGAAUUUGUUACCCUUCAAAAAUUCGAAAUUCGGUAAAUAUUUUUUCUCUAGGUGAUUUUUGGGUUUUUGGGUGCUGUUUAGGGACGCAAACGGGGCAGACGGGUUUCCCUAUCUUCCGCUAUAUUUCUUGUCAGAACGAGAUGGAAUCGGAACGGAUUAUUUUUUAUUUUAUUUUUUGCUCUCGCUUACUGUCUCAUUUGGGGCGAAUCGGGACAGGAGUGAAUUUUUGGGAAUACGACGGAUUGAAAAAAGAAAAAGGUCUCCUCCCCACUGCUUCAUUUACUUGGUGGAUACGGGACGGAUGAUUUUUUUUCUAUAUUUUUGUUUCCACUUAUCGCCUCAUUCGAAGCAGAGCGGGGCGGUAGCUACACCAACUCGGACCAAUUGCAUCCCUAGUGCUGUUGGGCUGCAUGCUUGUUUUUAAUUUGUUUGAAUAAAAUUUUGUAUAUUAGAAAGAUUAAUAAAUGGAUAUUGAAUUACUUGUAAUUUGUCCGUCUUAGUAUAUACUUAGCAACAGAAAAUUAAAACUUAAAAAAUAACUUUUUUAAUUUUAAAUUUUUUUAAAUCAAUUAUUAUUUCCCACUUAGUUGGAUGCAUUGCAAAUUAACAAAUUAUAAUAAUCAUAAUAAAAUUUCCAAUUCAUUAAAUUAUAAAAAAAGAAAAACAUAAAUAAAAGCAAUUGUAAUUUAAAUUAUUUCAGAUACAGUAGGUUACAUCAAUUUUAAUAAAGUUUUGCUUAUCCAUAUUGAUAUCUUUGAAGUUCGUUCAGUUGAUGUCCACAUUAUUUAUUUUAAACGAAGAGCUUAGUGGCAUGUCAUUGGCUUAACACUAAUAAUUUUAGAAACUGCAAAACAGAAAAUAUGCCAAGAUUAUACUGGAGAUUAGGAACGAAUAAAGUUUAAAGAUUAAAAGAAAAAAAAAACUAUGAUCAAAUGAAAUAUCAUGUAGAAGUUGGGGACCAUUAGUGCAGUUAACCAAAAUAAAUAGAGUAGAAUCUAGAUUUGAAUCUUAAUUUCAGACCUGAGCAUAAUUUUGUCCGGCUCAGAUUUCAUUCUAAACAAUAGCAGAUGAAAAUAAAAUUUAGACUAAAAAUAUAUUUUCAAUCGAAGAUUCGAGAUGGAUUCGAUGUGUGCGCUAAACUAAGAGCAUGUUUUGCUAGGACCUAUAUUGGUCCCUCAUCUUUUCUCAUCUGACAUAUGACUCGAACUUGCAACCACUAACAGAAGAGGGACAGAAAAGGGUGGGAUUAGGAACUUGCCACUUGGAUCUUUCUCAAUACUAAACAUGUAGCUGUAUAAUAAGUCCACUAUAAUAUUUCGGAAACAUAAAAAAGUUGAUAUUUUCCAUUUUUUUAACAAUUGGAUCAACUCUUUGAUCAUUUAUAGUUUUCAAAUUAAUAUUAAUGCCCUAGAGGGACCACUAAAUCCUACUAAGAAAACCACUAUCAUUUCAACCCUAUAAUUCUUAAUCUAAAAGCUAAAAAAAUCAAAAACAUUAAAUUCUUUAUAUUUUUGUAAGUAUAUAGUAGUUCCACACCUAUAUAUAUAGUUAUGUAAAUAUAAAUUUACUGAUAACAUAAUUUUUAUUCUUUGAUAUCUUUUCUAUCUGCUCUCAAAAUAGUUAUAGCAGUCAUAUCCUAAAAUCAUAAAAACUCAAUAAUUUUACCCUAUUUCUCCAAAUAGUUUCUCAUUCACAGCACAUAUAUUGUCCUUCUAGAAUAUAAUUAACCCUGCCCGCCCAGGGCCAAUUUGAAAAUCCAAAACCUCUUCUCCAAGCAAAAAAAAAAAAAACAUUCCCACGAACCACAACCCUUCUCAAUCUAUAAAUACUCAUAAAUUCAUGAAUCAUCUCCAUCGCCGAAGAGAGAAUUCAUGUUAAAAAAGAGAAAAAUAUAGUCAAAAAAUAAAACGGCACCGAGAGAUAAAGAAAGUGUAACGUUUUUUGGGUGCACCAUCAAGCCUUUUCUCCAUGGGGGUUCAAAUUGCACUGAACCUGAAGAAUGUGGCUUACGAAUUCGUCGAUGAGGCGGCCGGAGCCCAGAGUGAGCUUCUUGUUCGCUCGAACCCCGUGUAUAAGUUGAUCCCGGUGCUCAUUCACAACUACAGGCCGAUCUGCGAGUCGAUUAUGAUCGUCGAGUACAUCAAUGAGGUUUGGGUCACUGGCACAGAGUCGAGCUCGAUUCUCCCCUUCGAUCCCUAUGAUUGUGCCUCUGCACGGUUUUGGGCCUCGUACAUUGAUGACAAGGUAGCGCUUAAGUUUUAUUCCAAGCACUGAUAACUUAGCUAGUAUAUUUUAUACAAUUUUUGUAACUAUAAAUUAAUUAAAGUAACUAAUUCGCUUAAAUUUAAGUCAAAAUACUAUUGACGGAAUCAAAUCAAACAAGCUAAACUAUUUGCUAAUAACAUUAAAAAUUUAAAAGAGUUAGAUAAUUAAUUCGAUUUGGUCUAUAGUUUAUACAAGUUAUGCACAUUUUUAUCUCAAUAAAAUCCCUUUAAUCUUAGGACGAGCCGACUGGUACCAUAUAUUAAUUUUUUUUUUUUACUUUCUUAUUAAUUAUCCACAUAUGAAACUAUUCAUAUGCAAAAUUUUUUUUUUGAUAGAUAGGUAGCACGCUAUUCACUUCGUUUAUUUCAUUUAGAAAUAAACUUAGCUGGAAAUGUGAAUCAACUAGGAUUUGAACUUGGGACCUCAAGUAUCAACCAUCAAGUCCUUUCACUCCAACAAAAUUAGGUUAUGGGACACUUUUAUAUGAGCGUUCCAUUUAUGCUAAAUUUUUUUAAAAAAAUCUACUAAGUUUUAAAUAUAAAGCGGAAUCCAACCAAAAAUAAAAAUUUCUCUACUCAACCAACCAUACCAAACCCACUCGGCCCGAUUACAAAAUAAAUAAAUAAAUAAAUAAAAUAAAAAUAAUCACCAUCUUCUCUUCUCCUCUUCCGCUGCCGUAACCGACGAGAUAGGCUUUCAACAAAUGGAGUUCGGCCGCGAGGAUUUCGCAGGGACCGUAGAGAGCUACGAUCGCUACGUAUUUCUCCACCACAAGUUGCUGGAGGAGGGGUGCCAAAUAUUAAGAUGGCCCUACCUAUAGCGAUGCAACAUAUAGCAACAAUUUUAAAAAUGCCGGUAAUUUAGCCAGCGGUAUUUUUUUUUUUUAUCCGUACCGAUAUUUAAGAGUAUCGUUAUAUACCUUUUUUAUUAUAAUAUUUGCCACUUGCUCUAGGGACGAUCGGCUCACAUGCAAAUUUUUAACAAAUGAAACGUGAUUUUAUUUUUAUUUUUAUUUAUUUUUAUUUAUUUUUAUUAUUUUUUUAUAACAGUUGCCUCCUGUGCUUCGGAUCAUUGUGGGACACAAACCAAGAGACCAAGAAGCAGUAGGACAGAUAAUAUCCAUCCUUCAGCUUCUCCAAGAAGCACUUAAGAACAAGGGGGAAGCACUUUUCCGGAGGGGACGACAAAAUUGGCUACCUCGACGUUGCAUCAGAGAGUUAAUUUCCUGGGGCGAUAAGGCGUAUUUGGUUCGGUGUAAAACAAAUUGUAGAAUUAUUUUCGAUAUAAAAAAUAUUUUUUUAUUUGUUUAGUUUGAUAUAAAAAUAUUUUUUUAGAAAAGUAUUUUUAUUGAUUGAAAAAAAAUUUCACCGUAUCAAAAAAAACAUAAUUUUUUUUCCUUCUAACUAAAUAAAUAUUGAUAAAAAGUUGUUUUUUUCUAUAAAUCAAAGACUAUAAGAUAUAAUUAUUUUUUUUUUUGAUUUUACGUUGAGCCAAACGGACCACCCUAAACAGCAAAUGCAGCCAAAAAUAUAAGCAGGUCUCAAAAAUAAAAAUUGCAAUUAAGAAAAUUCUAUAUAUACCAUACGCGAAAGUUGUUAAAAAUAGUUACGUAAUGUUAUCUUUUCUUUUUUUUUUUUCCUAAUAAAGCACUAAGAUAAUAUUUUGAGUUGAGCCAAUAAAUUAGAAAGUUUUGAUCUAUUUAUGCGCAUAAUCUAGGGGUCCUUUAAGAAAUAUCCAAAGUAUUAAUAAUUUCUUAAUUAGGGACAAUAUAUAAAAGUUCAGCUAAUGCCUAAUAAGCAUCUAAGUUCAACUAUGCAUGAAGGCGGUAUAACUGCUAGUCACAAAAAAAUAAAUUAAUGAAAAAACUUACUAUUUUAAGGGCAUGUUUGGUUCAUGAUUGGAAUAGAAAUGAGAAAUAAAAUUAGAUUGCUUUGGAAUGGAAAAUGAAAUGACAAAUCAUACAAAAAUAUUUGGUUUAUUAUUGGAAUGAAAAUCGGAAUGAAAAUUUAAAAUUUUUGAGAGAAGAUUUUGAUUAAGAGAGAGGAAAUGAUGAAGGAAGAGGAGUUAGGUGUUGAUGAAAGAGGAUUUUGAAUAGUUUACUUAAAAAUGAGCCAAUCCGGAAUUCAAUGCCGGAUUGGAUCAUAAAUGGAUUUGGCCAUUCCCAUUCCGGAGUGGAAUGGGAAUCGGAAUCCGAUUCCUAUAAAACAAACGGUAAUUAUCAGAAUCAAUAAAUUUCAUUCCGAUUCCAUAGUCUAAAAUAGGUGAACCAAACAUGCCCUAAGUUCAAAUUCUCUCUUAAACAGUGUAGAUUUUUUAAAACUACUCUAACAAACCAUGCAUUAUCUAUUUACUAUAUACUAAAAUAGAACUGACACGUGACUUUCUAUAUGCUUGUCACGUGUCAAACUGAAAUAUAUAAUAGCAAUUUAGUAAAUAGAUUAGGAAACACUAUUAAAUCAAAUUAAAUCACUAUUAAACACUAUUAAAAUAAUUAUAUAUACAAUUAACUAUAAUUUUAUUAGGAAACACUAUUAAACACUAUUAAAUUAAAUUUGGCUAUCAAUUAGAUGGUUAAAAAUAGAAUUUUAUUAGGAAACGCUAUUAAAUCAAAUUAUACCAAUUAAGUAUAAUUAUAUAUACAAUUAAAUAGAAUUUUAUUAGGAAACACUAUUAAACACUAUCCACAUGUCAAACUCAAAUAUAGCAAUUUAGUAAAUAGAUUAAGAAACACUAUUAAAUCAAAUUAAAUCACUAUUAAACACUAUUAUUAUAAUUAUAUAUACAAUUAACUAGAAUUUUAUUAGGAAACACUAUUAAACACUAUUAAAUCAAAUUAUAAUUAUAUAUAGAACUAACUAGAAUUUUAUUAGGAAACACUAUUAAACACAAUUAAAUCAAAUUAUAAUUAUAUAUAUAAUUAAUUAAUCAAAUUACAUGUUUAUCAUGCAUCUUUUUAUAUGCUUGCCACAUGUCAAACUCAAAUAUAGCAAUUUAGUAAAUAGAUUAAGAAACACUAUUAAAUCAAAUUAAAUCACUAUUAAACACUAUUAUUAUAAUUAUAUAUACAAUUAACUAGAAUUUUAUUAGGAAACACUAUUAAACACUAUUAAAUCAAAUUAUAAUUAUAUAUAUACAAUUAAAUCAAAUUAAAUCAAAUUAAAUAUUUAUCAUGUAUCUUUCUAUAUANUGAUUGGAGGCGAGGAGGGCGGGGUGUGCGCAUGCGAGAGCGAGGGCGAAGGCGAGGGCGAGGGUGUGAGGGGCAGAGGAGGGGGGGCCGUUUCCGCCUCCGCCUCCGCGGACUUCUUCUGCGAGAAAAAAAAAAAGAACGCGGCAAAAAAAAAGGAUAGAGAAAAAAAAAGUAUAAGAGUAUUUUAAUCAGUUUGUUGAAAAUUUGGACCGAAUCUGUAAAAUCGAAAAAGACCGUCCAAUUUUACAAAAGCUCAAAACUUGUAGAUUUUUUAUGCAAAUUGGCCAAAAUUUUGUCCAGAUUCAUCCAUGUAAAGCAAAAAAAAAAUUCACUAUGUAUAUACAUAUAUAAUAUACUUCCUUUCCUUUUUAAGCAUUAUUAUGCAUACUAGCUAUGGGCCCGUGCGACACCGCGGGGAAAUAAUAUUUUAAUUAUUUUUUAGAAUAUUUAUUUUUUUAAAUACGUAUAAUUUUAUGAAGAUAUAAAAAUAUAUAAUAAUAUAUGUAAUAGAAAAUACAUUCCCACAAAUCAGAUAUAAUAUUUCACACUAAUUUUAUACGAAAUACAUUCAUUUCAAAAAUUUUAUAAUAUUAUAUAAUAUUAAAGUUAAAUAAAGUAUUACCUAACUAAAAUAGUAAGAGAACAUAAAAUAGCGCACUAUCAAAAAAUAAAAGAUUCACAACAAUUGUCUAUUUAUAAAAAAUAAAUCAACCAGAUAUAUAUCUAUUUUUUUAUAUUGUAUUUAUAAAAUUUUAUUAUAAAAGUAAAAUUUCAGUAAUUUUUAUAUUUAGACUUUUUAUAUAUUAUAGGGUGCAGUUAUUAGGUUAAACUCUAAUUUUAUCAUAUAAAUUAUUAAAAAAUAGUUUUUUUGUUUAUGUACGAAUUUUUAGACGCGACGUAAACAAAAAGAAAAGAAAAGAAAAGGUAAUGGGAGAGAGGGGGGAGCGGAGAAAGUGGGUGGGCCCCACCAAUGCUCCAAAAAAAGGAGAGCUCAAAACUAAACUUUAUUUAUGUUAAAGCUAAAGUCAAAUGGAAGAAUAUGUAAGAAUGUUUAUACACCGAACGUGUAAUUUUUUUUACACAGUAUUUAUGAAGUUUUAUUAUAGCGGUACAAAUCUAUUAAUUUUUGUAUCUAUAUUUUUUAUAUAUUAUAGAUCGUACUUAUCAGAUGAAAUUUUAAUUUUGUUAUAUUAAUUAUUAAAAAAUAGGCUUUUUUUUCUCUCUCUCACUCUCUUUCUCACACACCCUACACCCUUUUUUUUAAAUUUUUUCUCUCAAUACCUUUUCUUUUUUGUUUUUUUCUACAUCAAGUGUAAAAUUUUAUCAUAUGCACCAACCCUAUUUUUUAAUAGUCGAUAUAACAAAAUUAAAAUUUCAUACGGUAUAAAAAAAGUUGUACACCAAGUAUAUAAGAUAUGCUCAUAUAUAAUCUAUAAUUUGAUUUCUUCUUUGUUUUGUCUAUACCAAGUAUAAAAUUUUAGCACAUGAAUCAACCCUAUUUUUUACAUUUAGGGGCCGUUUGAUUGUAUGUAGUUGCAACUACACUGCAGUUGUAACUACAUAUAUAUGCAAAUUUGGUGUUUGGUUUGAUAUAUUUAACUCCAACUGCUGCAGUAGGAACUGCAGGAGGAGGCUCAACUGCAGCAGUUCGAACUACGCCCAAAUUGGAUGCAGUUUCAACUGCAGCAGUUGGAGAGAGUAAUUUUAAAUAAAAGACAUGCUUACAUCAUUAAUAAUUUUUAAACCAAAAUUAUUUUUCUUCUUUACAUUGAAAGUAAUCUCACCAUCAUAUAUAUAAAAUGAUAAAAUUUUAAAAAUUAUCUCUUAGCUGCAUGCAACCAAACAAAUUAUCUAACUUGCAGCGCUUUCUACUACAUUCAACCAAUCAGAAUUCUUAUAGUUGUAACUGCUGUAUUUCUAACUGCAUGCAUCUCUAACUACACUGUAUUUAUAAUUAGAUCUAACCAAACAGCCCUUUAGUAUAGGAAAAAAUAAAAAAGAAAUGGUGCUAAGAGAAAAAUAAAAUAGAAUAAGAGAUGUCGAGUGUGUGAGAGAGAGAGAGAGUGAGAGAGAGAGCGAAAAAAAAAAAAAAGUGGCCCCACCUCUUUGCUUGAGGAGACUAUUAAAAAAUAAGGUUAGUCCAUGUGCUAAAAUUUUAAGGAGACUGUGAGAUCCCUGGUGUUUGACUGUAGAGGUUUGUCGACAGCUCUGGAGAGUGUCGGGACAAGCCCGAGUCGCGUUGGCGUCAAAUAGACGUAAAACGGACUCCGUCGGACGCGAGAGCAGCCUUCAGCGAAGAAAUCUGCGAAAUAGCAGAUUUUUCUGCUUGUUGUACCGGUACAGCCAUCAUGGCGUACCGGUACACUAUACUGAUGCCGCGUAAUCUGCUCUCGGGUUGCUUCCUGUACCGGUACGCAAUCCCGUGUACCGGUACACCAGGGUAGGUGAGAGGGUGUUUUGGUCUUUUCUCUCCCUCGUUUGUAUCGAUUCCUUCUCUCUCUCUCUAUAUCAGUUGGUAACCGAGCAGAGGAAGAGAGAGAAGGCUUUUGUGCUUUCUUCUUUCUCUCUUUCUCUAAGCUUGGUGGAGGUGGAGCACGGUUGAGCCGGGGAUUCGCCGACGUCGCGCCGCGAGCCGUUCGAGCGAGCGUUUGUUGCCGGGGCAUUGCGAAGAGGCCGGGCGAGGGUGCGUCUUCGCCGUCCUGGACAUCGCGCCGAGGAUUGUCGCUGUUGAGGUGAGCAUUUUGGUCGCAAUUGCUCCGAGUACUUCGGGUAUCGUUGAUUUGAGCUUAAGUGCUGUUUUCGCAGAAUCUACCGUCGACUGUUAGUAUUUCGGCUCGUUCUCCGCGUAGGAGCGUCGGAUCGCGACGAAACUUGGUUCAUUGGAUUCUAGACUGCGAGAGGAUUCCACGGAGCCCUCACUUGCAAUUUUUGGACGAGGUUAGCUUGGUCGAAACUUGGUCUCUUUCAGCUGCUGUGAACUUAGGCUGAUUUGUGAUGUUUUGGUCGUUUUAGCUCGGCGACCGGUCUAGGUGGUCCCUGAGGAAUCCAGCAGCAUCGCGGGUGGCCGAGGCUGAGUUCGCUGCCAGGAAAUUGCACUUGAGGUGGGUUACAUCGGUUUUAUCUCCUAAGUUCAUAAUCGUCAACAUGUAUAGAUCUUGAGUUUGAUAAUUUAUUCUAGCUCGAAUUCAUGGAUUAUAUGAUAGAAUGCAAAUCUGAAUUUGGAGUAUGUGGUAAUAAAUUAAGUAGAUUAUAUAUGUUGGACUUGGAAACUGAAUUAGGAGAAAACCUGCGAUUUGGACCUGUCACCAGUUUUAACUACCUGAUUUAGCUCUAGGAGCCGUUAGAAAAUUGUACUGUCGCAGUUUCUUCGAGACGAGUACUCCAGGUAGUUUAGAAUGUAUUUACACUCGUGCUGGUUCGCCGAGUGGAUUUUUACAGGGUCGUUCAGGUCGUUUCGGACUGUUGGGUGCCGUCAGAGUUGACGGUGGACCCGUAUCGCCUUUUUGGCGUCAGAUUGUGCCGAGGGCACGUUACCUGUUGGUUGUUAGACCAGUUUGAGUCGAUUACUUGACUUUGGCUAGUUGGAGCCUGAUUGAGCUCGACAGAGAUACGCUGCAUACUCGGUUGGGUAGCGCCCACGAGUGCCACUCCGGAGUCAGGCUUGUGCUUUUGCGUUGGUGUCGCUCAUGCCAGUUGGACUUGCUCUCCACGGACCAGUUAGAGUGGAUAGAGCCCGAUAGUCGCAACGGGGCAGGGACGGGUGUAUUCACAGUCCCGGGGACGGGUAUGCUUACAGUCCCGAUUGGAUUGGGUCAGAUUUGACAUUUCCUACAGUUGGUUAGUGUAGAGCAUGAUAGUGUAGUGGAUGAUAGCGGUAGAGUAUGCUUCCUGCUUUCCUUCUAUCCUUGCUCCCUUCUGUAGACUUAGUGGGUGACCGAUGUUGUUUUGGGCGGUACCCACUGAGGACUACUUGUUUUUACAGUAGUUCUCACGCCCAGUUGUUACCUAUGUUUUUGCAGAGCCACAGGUUCCGGCUGCUGCACCGUCUGCGGACCAGGAUCGAGGCAAGGGCGUCGCGAGUUAGAGCCCUACCCGACGUGCUGAGCUAGAGGUGCCCUACUGCAGGUAGAUGUUUUGUUUCGAGUUUAUGUACAUAGUUGACUUAACUCGCCAGUGCGAGUAGCUCUGUAUUUUGGAUCUGAACUAUGUAUAUGAAACUCUGUUUUAUUUAGCUUCAGUUUUCUCUAGCAGCUCUCUACUACUGUUCGUAGUAGUGUUUGAUUUACAGGUACAGCUAUCGCUUCGUAUACAGGGAAAAUUUCUUUGUAUACGGCGGAUUUGUCGGCGUGCCCGGGGAACGUGUAAUCCGGGGCGUGACAGAUUAAGUUGGUAUCAGAGCUUUGCUGUAGGUCGUUGGGACCUAGGAAACCUAAGUUUGGCAAACCUUAGGGAAGCAAGACGUGAGAGGCGUAAUUUUAUUGCGAAAGUCAAUGAUUAUUUGUUUUAACUCCUCUUAGAGUAGAGUGAGUGACUGAAGGAGUUUCUGUUUUGGCCUGAGAAAUUAUGUUGGCUGCAGACGACAUAAUUUUGGAGGAAAACAGGGACCGCCUUCUAGACUUUCGUUGAUUGGGUCGAGAGUGUUGCGUUGUAUCUGACCCCGAUUUGUUCCUUUCAGCUAUGUAUCGUCGCCGAGGUCGACCGUCGUUGCGGGAGCGUGCCCAGUUGGCGCGGGAUCAUGCUGGACCUUCUGAGAGAUCUGAGCAGAUGGAGCAGAGUACUCGGCAGGAGCAGGGUGACAGACUGGGGGCGAGUGUACCCCCUGUUGUGGAGCCGAGUGCGCGACCAGAGACUAGCGCACCCCCUGAUCUGAGUGCACAGUUAGCUGCCCUGACCGAGGUGACGAGACAGCAGGGGGAGCUAUUGCAGAGGUUGUGUGAGAGGAUAGCUCAGCCACCGAGUUCUGUACCGAGGGCACCAGAGUCGCCAGUUCCACCCCCGACUACUCCAGUGACAGCACCAGCUGCAGCAGUUCCUCCAUCGGCAGCAGUUCCAGUAGCGCCAGUUGCGCCUGCUAGGGGGCCAGUACCGUUGACUGAGGCCGAGCAGGAGCGGUGGACGGAGAGGUUAGCUCGUUUUCGCCGAUUUGAUCCACCGAUCUUCGAUGGCAGAGGCACUGAGGCCUGGAUUGUUGAGGGAUGGGUCAGUGCGAUGGAGAAGUUAUUCGAGGAUCUGUUCGUUCCAGAGGGGGAGCAGGUACCCCUGGGAGUACACUGUCUAGCAGGUGAUGCUCAUGACUGGUGGCGGAGGACGAGGCGAGACCAGGGGCUAGUGGCGGCGCAGCUGAGUUGGGACGAGUUCUGUGGAAUGCUGUUUGGGAUGUUCUUUCCCAACAGUGUGAAGCAGAAGCUCGAGGAGGAUUUGAGGAGGCUUCAGCAGGGAGAUCGCCCAGUGCAGGAGUACGUUCGGGAGUUUACUCGACUCCUGAACUGUGUACCAUUUGUGGCCAGAGACGAGGCGCACCGAGUAUACAUGUUCGAGCAGGGGCUGAGACCGGACAUCUUCAGGUUAGUGCGGGCGCAGAGGUCGAGGACCCUGGAUGCGUCCAUAGAGCAGGCCCUAUGGGUGGAGAGAGGUGAGGUGUCGCUGCAGGAGAGGACUCAGGCCGUGGGGCAGGGUCAGGACAGGAAGCGCCCCUUUCCAGAUGACGGAGGGCAGUCGAGCAGCAGACGUCCGCCGAGACCUCCACGAUCACGUUCUCAGGGUCGUGGGUCUUCGGGGCGUCAGCGUUCCAGGGGAUCCCGUCAGCAGGGGCAGACUCAGAGGACGCCACAGUGUGUGAUCUGCGGGGGACCACACUGGCCUCGGCAGUGCGAGCAGAGAGAGGGCAGGUGCUACGGAUGUGGUCAGCCGGGACACAUGAGGGCAGCUUGUCCCCGAGCAGCAUCUCCAGCACCGUCAUCAGCUUCGGCACCACCAGCACCACAGCAGUCUUACGGAGCAGCACCGAGCUACCGCCAGGAGGACAGAUCGUCUGUGCCGCGGUCGAGUGAGCGGCGACAGCAGGCUCCGAGUGGCAGGGUCUAUGCAGCUCAGGUGGAGGACUCUUCAGCAGCCGACCGAGUGGUGGCAGGUAUCACUUUGAUUUCUGGCAUUAGAGUUCGCACUCUUUUUGAUACCGGUGCAUCGCAUUCCUUUGUUAGCCGAGCAUUUGCAUUGUUGCAUGGUCUAGAGUUAGGAGCGUUGUCUCAGGCACGAGAGGUGCAGAUCCCCGACCAUGUCUUGCAGGUUACAGAGUGUUGUUGGUCCUGUCCGGUGCAGUUAGACUCUUGGAUCAUGCCCGCAGACCUGUUGGUGUUAGGGCAGCUGCAGGACUUCGACGUAGUGCUCGGUAUGGAUUGGCUGGCGCGGUACUAUGCUACGAUCGACUGUGGAGCGAGGACGGUGACGUUCCGCGAGCCAGGCCAGGAGGAGUUUACUUUCAGAGGCUGCAGGAGCACGCUGUUUGCCACCUGGAUAUCUUCGGCGAGGGCUCGACAGAUGCUGAGCAGUGGGUGUAUCGCUUUCCUAGCGACAGUUGUGGAGGUACCUACGGCGGCGCCGAGACUCGAGGACAUCCCAGUAGUCCGCGAGUUUUCGGAUGUGUUUCCCCCUGAGUUGACGACAUUGCCGCCGGAGAGGGAGAUUGAGUUUGUGAUUGAUGUAGUUCCUGGAACUGCACCAAUCUCAAAGGUACCUUACAGGAUGGCACCGGCAGAGCUGAGAGAGCUAAAGGCGCAACUUCAGGAUCUGAUGGAUAGAGGGUUUGUGAGACCCAGUGUGUCGCCUUGGGGAGCGCCGGUGUUAUUUGUAAAGAAGAAGGAUGGUUCGCUCAGGUUAUGUGUGGAUUACCGGGAGCUGAAUAAAGUGACCAUCAAGAACAAGUAUCCUCUGCCGCGCAUUGAUGAUCUAUUCGAUCAGCUGCAAGGAUCUUGUGUCUUUUCGAAGAUUGAUCUCCAGUCAGGUUACCACCAGCUGAGGGUGAGGGCCGAGGAUGUUCCCAAGACGGCUUUUCGGACUCGGUACGGGCAUUAUGAGUUCACGGUGAUGCCUUUUGGAUUGACGAAUGCCCCUGCCGCAUUCAUGGAUUUGAUGAACAGAGUGUUCAAGCCGUUCUUGGAUAGGUUUGUGGUAGUCUUCAUCGACGAUAUCCUGAUUUACUCCCGGAGUGAUGCUGAGCAUGAGGAGCACUUGAGGAUUGUGCUACAGCUUCUGCGCGAGAAGAAGUUGUAUGCCAAGUUAAAGAAGUGCGAGUUCUGGCUACGGGAGGUUGCUUUCUUGGGCCACGUGAUUUCAGCUGAGGGCGUAGCAGUGGACCCGAAGAAGAUUGAGGCGAUUCGAGAUUGGCCUAGACCGACGACGGUUACUGAGGUGCGGAGUUUCCUUGGACUGGCAGGAUAUUACCGUCGGUUUGUGGAAGGCUUUGCGAAGCUUUCCACACCCCUCACGCGCUUGACGCGGAAGGGGAUUCGUUUUGUCUGGAGCGACGACUGUCAGAGGAGCUUUGACGAGUUGAGAUUGAGGUUGAUGUCGGCUCCUAUCCUUGCCCUUCCUGUUAUGGGCGAAGGAUUUGUGAUCUACAGUGAUGCAUCGCACAGUGGACUUGGUUGCGUGCUGAUGCAGCAUGGUAGGGUGAUUGCUUAUGCUUCACGGCAGUUAAAGGAUUAUGAGAAGAAUUACCCUACGCAUGACUUGGAGCUUGCCGCGGUGGUUUUUGCUUUGAAGCUCUGGCGGCAUUACUUGUACGGCGAGCACUGCGAGAUUUUUACUGAUCAUAAAAGUCUCAAGUAUCUGUUCACCCAAAAGGAGUUGAAUUUGAGACAGCGCCGGUGGUUGGAGUUGCUGAAGGAUUAUGACAUCAGUAUCCAGUAUCAUCCCGGCAAGGCGAAUGUGGUGGCAGAUGCGUUGAGCAGGAAGGCAGUGCAGAGCUUGAGUAUGUUGAUCACUCGGCAGAGACCGUUACUCGAGGAGCUGAGACGGCUGGGACUCGAGGUAGUGUCCCCUGGAUUUACUGCGAGAUUGAUGUCUAUGAUCUUGCAGCCCACUCUGUUAGAUAGGAUUCGAGAGAAACAGAGUGGGGAUCCACACUUGUCGAGGAUUCGAGAGCAGCUUGAGAGGGGACAGGCCGAGGGCUUUGUUGUGGACAGUUCGGGAGUACUGCGGUACAGGGACCGACUGUGUGUACCUAUGGAUUCAGAGAUCCGAGAGGACAUCUUGAGAGAGGCUCACUGUUCACCUUAUACGGUUCACCCCGGUGGAACCAAAAUGUAUAAGGAUUUAAAGGCUCAGUUUUGGUGGAAUGGAAUGAAGAGGGACAUUGGUAGAUUUGUGGCUCAGUGUCUGACUUGUCAACAGGUAAAGGCCGAGCAUCAGGUACCUGCUGGCAAGCUUCAGAGUCUACCAGUGCCCGAGUGGAAAUGGGAGCAGAUCACGAUGGACUUUGUCGUCGGAUUGCCGAGAGCACAGGGUGGUUUUGAUGCGAUUUGGGUGAUAGUGGACAGACUGACCAAGUCUGCUCACUUCUUACCAGUGCAGACCACUUGGUCCAGAGAGAGACUCGCUCAGUUGUACUUGGAUGAGAUAGUGAGGUUGCAUGGCGUGCCCACUUCGAUAGUAUCCGACCGGGACCCGAGGUUCGUAUCGCACUUCUGGAGGAGUCUUCAGACGGCCUUGGGCACUCAGUUGCAGUUCAGCACAGCAUUUCACCCACAGACAGAUGGUCAGUCAGAGCGGACCAUUCAGACUCUAGAGGACAUGCUGAGGGCAUGUGUCUUGGACUUUGGAGGAGGGUGGUAUCGGCAUUUGAGACUGGUUGAGUUUGCGUACAACAACAGCUAUCAAGCGAGCAUCCAGAUGGCUCCGUUUGAGGCGUUGUAUGGACGCAGAUGUCGAUCCCCUUUGUUUUGGAGUGAUGUGGGUGAGAGGAGGACGCUUGGGCCUGAGAUUCUGAUUGAGGCUGAGGAAAAGGUAAAAGAGGCGCGACGGCACAUAUUAGCAGCCCAGAGUCGACAGAGGAGCUAUGCUGAUACCCGGAGACGAGACUUGGAGUUCCAGGUGGGAGAUCAUGUUUUUCUUAAAGUCUCGCCGUCCAGAGGGAUUCGCCGAUUUGGUGUACGUGGAAAGCUCAGUCCACGUUUUGUAGGCCCUUUCGAGGUAUUGGAGCGAGUCGGGCCAGUUGCUUACAGGAUUGCUCUACCACCACGGCUAGCCGGCAUUCAUGAUGUGUUCCACGUCUCGGCUUUGAGGAAAUAUGUGUUCGACCCCUCCCACGUGAUCGACUUCACUCCGCUUGAGAUUGGCGAGGACCUGAGCUACGAGGAGCGACCGGUGCGGAUUCUGGCUCGUGAGUCGAGGGAAUUGCGCAACCGGGUCAUACCCUUUGUAAAGGUGCAGUGGAGUAAUCACGAGGAGCGGGAGGCGACUUGGGAGCCGGAGGCGAUGAUGAAGGAGUCCUACCCCUACCUGUUUGAGGCCCUGGAUUGAGGUAUGUGUACAGUUUCGCGGACGAAACUUUUUGUAGUGGGGGAGGAUGUAGUGUUCCUGAGCUUUGGAUAGGAUUGGCUUCAGUAUUAUAGACUGGUCGACAUCUCUGGAGAGUGUCGGACUGAGUCGGAGUCAAUUCUGCACGAAUUGGAUGCAGAAUUGGACUCGGCGCACUCAAAUAAGCAAAACUGGAGUUUUGCCAGAUUCGGGCGCCCAGAACAUUGUUAGGGUCGCCCAGAAACGAGUGUUGAAUUUAACUGAAACUGGAAGCCAAUUCGGAUCCCAUGUUCCGGGCGCCCAGAAGUGGGUCCGGAAAUUUCACCUCGUGAAUAUCGCUUGCUUCGACGCGUGGCAGGGCGGUAGGUGAGUUCCGCCGGUGCCGUUUACGGGCGCAGCACACCGCGGGCGGAGAGUCCGAGGGGCCCAUUUUGUGCAGGCCGGAUGUUCUGGUCGCCCAGAACAUGGUUCCGGGCGCCCAGAAACGCCCGUUUCUGCAGGGGCACUGGAUUGCGGCUAUUUUUCCUGGGGCUUAUCUGAUCUAUCCAGCAGCCUAUAAAUAGCUGAGAAGCGCCCCCUUUGAGCUCUUUUACCUGUUCUUCACAGAGGACUUAGAUUUUACUCCCAAAUCCCUCAAAUCUUUCCAAUUUGCAUCAAGAUCCACCUCUCCAAGAAUUGCAAGGUGCUGAUUUUGCAGUUCUUCAGCGACGACCUCCAGUGUUUUGGCUCGUGCGUGACGUAGGAAGGUCGGAUUUCAACGAAACUUGGUUUGCUGGAUUCUUGACUUCCAGAGGAAUCCACGAAGCCCUAAUUUGCAGAAUUUGGUGAAGGUUAGCUCAGUCGAACUCAGGUUUUCCUCUGCUGUUGUUGCUUUGGACAGAAUUUGCCAAUUUUUGAUGUUUUCUUGGGGUGAACUUGGGAAGCAGGGGCUUUGUGGAGUUGAGUUAUUUUCCCUAUCACCCAGUACUGGAAUUGGGACCCUCUCCACCUGAUUUGGAGUUCGUUUGGUGAGUUUUGACAUUGGAAUUGAGAUAUUUAAGCUUAAAUGCUGUUUUGCUGAAAUUCAUCGUCGACUGUUAGUAUUUCAGCUCGU
rnacentral:lncRNA from 1 species